GCCGAAGUGGCGGAACUGGCAGACGCGAGCGACUCAAACUCGCUUGGGUAACGCCCGUGUGGGUUCGACUCCCACCUUCGGCA
rnacentral:tRNA from 1 species